GCAGAAUCAGUCUGACUUAUGAAGGGGCUAAAAACAGUAAUGAAGGUCAGCCACAUGGGUGGUCAGACAUGUUUAUAUAACUGACCUCCAAUAAUAGUGACCCCUGGGCACUAAGGCUUGGAUGAGCAUCCACCAUUGGCAACGCUCUGCAUGUACUGUCGCACAUUGUUGUAGGGACAAAUAAGUGCUAUUUGUACAACUCUGGACAGAAGACAACUGGAAAUAAACUCCGGUUUCUCCUGAACUCUGCCCCAUAUGCCUUUUUCCUUUGCUGAUUUUAAUUUGUAUUAUUUCAUUCCAGUGAAUCACUGCUAUAUCCUUAUUGCCUGCAAAGCUGCCUGAAAAAGUAGUUUCUCAAGAAAAGCAGUUUCUCAAGAAACAUUUCAGUAAUAAAUGAAUGAGUGAAAUGGUGUGUAAGCCAUAACCAUCUUAGAAACAGCUGUGAAAUCAAGCAUGCUGGCUGGGAGAUGUGGCUCCUCUCCGCGGCACAGUGUCUAUAUCACUGAUCAGGUGGACAGAUAGUCCCAGAAGGAGGCCCUCACCAACCCAUUUCCCCAGACACAGUCAGAACUGGGGUCAGCUGCAGAGAUGGGAACCGCAAGAGGAAGGAGACCCUUAACAAGGACCAGGAAAGUGGUGUAUGCAUAAAGAAAGGAAGCUGUUCUUGAAAUGUGCCAGUGACCUCAUCCCUGUCCCUGAGGCCAGCAUGAGUGCUUGCAGUGCAAGUGACCCAUCUGCCAGGGUGACCUCAGGCCUCGGACUAACAGCAAAUAAAGCCAUGAACACACUGUUCUCUGGACACUUUUGCAAUUUUUCCUUUCCAGGGCCUACAGCUCUAGACUUGAGACCUGCAACUCUUCCCCUUUGUUCACUAUGACUCUAACAAAUUUAAAACAUGUCAGUUCUCUCCAACCCCAAGAAAUGUGAAUAAAUGUUUCCGAAAACCAGAAGCAUUUCCCUAAAUUUUUGUUUUUAAAAGUCCCCCUUAAUCGGAAA
rnacentral:lncRNA from 1 species